rnacentral:lncRNA from 1 species
GCUUAUUGUUCCCUGUAGCCCCAGGUCCUUUCCUGCAGAGCUGCCUGCCCAGCCAGUCAGGCCCCAGCCUGCAUGGCUCGUGGGCCUGUUCUGCCCUCAGAACCGUGAGAGGAACGGGCGCCAGGGGAGCAAAGGGCGAGAACCGGGGCAUGGCGCUGCUCCAAGGAGCUCCCUUCAGCAAAGGGGCUUGAGGCGCAGCCCGGGCGUGCCGGCCAGGAAGCACUAGCUGCGCCUUUAAAAGGCUGUAGCCCAGCCCAGCCACCCCCACCCGGAUCUGGCUGACGUGGGGAGGAGGCGCCUGCCGCGAACAAAAGUGCUGCCUUGUCGCAGCGCAGCAACAAGUGCGCGGGGCGCGGGCGCAGUGGAUUACAGCGGGGGCGGCCCCGCCGGGGCGCUGCUCCUUAAACCCCUCAGCUCGGCCAUGCGUGGGGCAUGACGGCGGCAGGAUGGGAGCGAACAAUGGCAAGCAGUGCGGCAGCGAGGGGAGGAGAAUGAGACUGCAGCUGGUUCCUCCUUACCUGUUUGGGAGAAAUUUUUGCUCCAUAUGCCCAGCUUGA